CACGCCACUGACGCUCAUGCACGAAAGCGUGGGUAUCGAACAGGAUUAGAUACCCUGGUAGUCCACGCGGUAAACGAUGAUAACUAGUUAUCCGGCGCGAUUGAGUGCUGGGUGACCGAGCGAAAGCGUUAAGUUAUCCACCUGGGGAGUACGCCGGCAACGGUGAAACUCAAAGGAACUGACGGGGGCCCGCACAAGCGGAGGAACAUGUGGUUUAAUUCGAUGAUACGCGAGGAACCUUACCCGGGCUCAAACGCAUCGCGCUACACCCUGAAAGGGGUGGUUCUUCGGACGCGGUGCGAGGUGCUGCAUGGUUGUCGUCAGCUCGUGCCGUGAGGUGUCGGCUUAAGUGCCAUAACGAGCGCAACCCCCAUCUUCAGUUGCCAUCGGGUUAAGCCGGGCACUCUGGAGAGACUGCCGGCGCAAGCUGUGAGGAAGGCGGGGAUGACGUCAAAUCAGCACGGCCCUUACGUCCGGGGCGACACACGUGUUACAAUGGCGGGGCUACAGAGGGGAGCCAGGCGGCGACGCCGAGCUGAUCCCGAAAACCCGUCUCAGUUCGGAUCGGAGUCUGCAACCCGACUCCGUGAAGCUGGAUUCG
rnacentral:rRNA from 1 species